GAUGAACGCUGGCGGCGUGCCUAAUACAUGCAAGUCGAGCGAACGGACGAGAAGCUUGCUUCUCUGAUGUUAGCGGCGGACGUGUGAGUAACACGUGGAUAACCUACCUAUAAGACUGGGAUAACUUCGGGAAACCGGCGCUAAUACCGGAUAAUAUUUUGAACCGCAUGGUUCAAAAGUGAAAGACGGUCUUGCUGUCACUUAUAGAUGGAUCCGCGCUGCAUUAGCUAGUUGGUAAGGUAACGGCUUACCAAGGCAACGAUGCAUAGCCGACCUGAGAGGGUGAUCGGCCACACUGGAAGUGAGACGCGGUCCAGACUCCUACGGGAGGCAGCAGUAGGGAAUCUUACGCAAUGGGCGAAAGCCUGACGGAGCAACGCCGCGUGAGUGAUGAAGGUCUUCGGAUCGUAAAACUCUGUUAUUAGGGAAGAACAUAUGUGUAAGUAACUGUGCACAUCUUGACGGUACCUAAUCAGAAAGCCACGGCUAACUACGUG
rnacentral:rRNA from 1 species